UCGAACGGUAACAUAGCUAGCUUGCUAGCUGAUGACGAGUGGCGGACGGGUGAGUAACGCGUAGGAAUCUACCUAUUAGUGGGGGACAACCUGGUGAAAACCAGGCUAAUACCGCAUACGCCCUACGGGGGAAAGCAGGGGAUCUUCGGACCUUGCGCUAUUAGAUGAGCCUGCGUUAGAUUAGCUUGUUGGUGAGGUAAAGGCUCACCAAGGCGACGAUCUAUAGCUGGUCUGAGAGGAUGAUCAGCCACACUGGGACUGAGACACGGCCCAGACUCCUACGGGAGGCAGCAGUGGGGAAUAUUGCGCAAUGGGCGAAAGCCUGACGCAGCCAUACCGCGUGUGUGAAGAAGGGUUUAGGCUCGUAAAGCACUUUAAGUAGGGAGGAAGGCCUGUAACUUAAUACGUUGCAGGAUUGACGUUACCUACAGAAUAAGCACCGGCUAACUCCGUGCCAGCAGCCGCGGUAAUACGGAGGGUGCAAGCGUUAAUCGGAAUUACUGGGCGUAAAGCGCGCGUAGGCGGUUUGUUAAGCGAGAUGUGAAAGCCCAGGGCUCAACCUUGGAACUGCAUUUCGAACUGGCAGGCUAGAGUACAAGAGAGGGUGGUAGAAUUUCCUGUGUAGCGGUGAAAUGCGUAGAUAUAGGAAGGAAUACCAGUGGCGAAGGCGGCCACCUGGCUUGAUACUGACGCUGAGGUGCGAAAGCGUGGGGAGCGAACAGGAUUAGAU
rnacentral:rRNA from 1 species